UACGUAGGGUGCAAGCGUUAAUCGGAAUUACUGGGCGUAAAGCGUGCGCAGGCGGUUUUGUAAGUCAGAUGUGAAAUCCCCCGGGCUUAACCUGGGACUGCGUUUGAAACUACAAGGCUAGAGUGUGGCAGAGGGGGGUGGAAUUCCACGUGUAGCAGUGAAAUGCGUAGAGAUGUGGAGGAACACCGAUGGCGAAGGCAGCCCCCCUGGGUUAACACUGACGCUCAGGCACGAAAGCGUGGGGAGCAAACAGG
rnacentral:rRNA from 1 species